CAGUAGCCACGGUAAUACGAAGGGUGCAAGCGUUACUCGGAAUUACUGGGCGUAAAGCGUGCGUAGGUGGUGGUUUAAGUCCGUUGUGAAAGCCCUGGGCUCAACCUGGGAAUUGCAGUGGAUACUGGAUCACUAGAGUGUGGUAGAGGAUAGUGGAAUUUCCGGUGUAGCAGUGAAAUGCGUAGAGAUCGGAAGGAACAUCUGUGGCGAAGGCGACUAUCUGGGCCAACACUGACACUGAGGCACGAAAGCGUGGGGAGCAAACAGGAUUAGAUACCCGAGUAGUCCCUGUCUCUUAUAC
rnacentral:rRNA from 1 species